UGAGAUCUGUUUGACCCUGCCAGACUGGUCGGCUAGUUCGGAAGCCUAAGCCAUGCAAUUUGGGCAACCUGUUGAACUCUGUCUCGAGACGGAGGGCAGGGAGCAGGCCACUGCUGCGUUAGAUCAUGGUAACGUAUGCACAAGGACGGUAUAUCCGCGGGAAACUGCGGGCAAUAUCGAAUGGGCCGGUGAACACAGUAAGUGUGUAGGCUGUGUGCGUCGAGUACGAACCCAUCAGGUAGAUGGCAGUGUUAUGAACUACCGUGCCAGUAACGGGCACGGGGAAUUGGAGUACGAUUCCACAGAGAAAGGCUGAGAGACAGCUUUCAGAGCCAAGGCAAGCGGCAGGUGCGAAACCUGUCCAAUGGAGGAUCGCCGCGAAGGUUAAAGACCCUCCUUUGUCAUUCGCGGAAAAGGAAGAGAUGGUCUUAGAGAGACCGACGAACGCAACCUGUGCUAAACUCUGGUGCCAGCAGGCGCGGUAAUACCAGGACAGCGAGUCUACCAGGGUUACUGAGAUUAAAGGUUCCUAGUCGUUACUGCGUAGCAGCGAGGGACCGCGCUUAAACUUGGGUGCUCAAGAAAUAGAGUGUGCGCGAGAUCGCUUCUCCUCCGCGGAGGAAACAAGGAGAAACCAGACGCGAGGUGGAAUUCGUUGACCCGGUCAGGAAUACCAGUGUCGAAAGCGCCUCGAGAGGGUUUGCUCCUCGACCGAGAACCAAAGUUGGAGUAUCGAUAACAAUUAGACACGGUUGUAGUCUCAACAACAAACGUUGCCGACAGUUUGUGGGGCGGUACGUUUUCAGACGAGUCGGCUCCGCGGACAAUGCGAAAACCUAGUCACCGGGUCGCUUGGAGAGUAUGCUGGCAACAGUGAAAUUUAAAGGAAUUGACGGAGCCUUCCACAAGAACAGGAAAAUACGGUUCAAUUUGAUUGUAGAUGGUCUUUAGCAAUUCUUGCAAAUACGCCUCCGUUAAGCAAGCACUCCCGAGGUUCAAGGGAGUCGGCAGAUCGGCGCGAAAAGGUCUCUAAAAGUUUCUCGAUCCGUACUAAUCCCACACGGCUCGGGCCUGCCUUUAUCUCCCAUGCCGCAAAUGGUGAAGAAGCGGUUGAACAAGGGUAAUUGCAUUGUUUUAGCAGGACAGAGGACAACUCAGGGACUUAAAAUUAACUCCAGUCAAGAGGAACGCAGAGACAGUCCUUGAGGAGCAAGCGGGGAAAGGUUAGUGAACCUCUGGAUUCACCCAGAGGUGCCAAAGCCCGAAAUCUGAGUUUUGUUGCGACUCCUAUUGCUUCGGAUGGUUGUUCGAUUAACACCAUCCGAGAUGCUGUAAUAACUUGGGAUAGUUACUUGACGAGAAAUUAGUACAAAUGUAUUAACUUGCCAAUGAAGCUAAGAAGAGAAAAGAGGUGCUUACUUACGUUGUGGAACCGGACGGAUCUGAACCUUUGAGUUUCCGAUGUUCAAGUUUACAGCGGCACACUUAAGCACCGAGCCAGGAAACUGGUUGUUGGGAAGGUUUCAACAUCCAAUUUCCAAUGCAGAUUUACAGUCACCCGAGCGCAUCAAGCGAAACAAAGAUGUGUGCAUGAGACGGGACAGCGGCAAGAGGCCACGUAAACAAAAGUACAAGGUCGAUGACUUUGGUACUGUCAAACUUAAGCUUCCUCGAAAGGAAGGGAAAGGAGACUUGCGUAUCCAGCUCACACACGCAUGUGAGAAGAAAGGAUCUGUCCCAGCCGCGUUCCAACUGAAACUCGACUCUGAGUUUGAGAAACUCAGGAAAGCAAAAGAGGUCAAGGCACCUAGGCUUUCGGGCAGAGUAACCAAGGAGAGCCUAGGUUACGUUGAAGCCUGGUUGAGGAACCUUUUGGCGAAAGGUAUAGGUUGCAACGAGUUCAACUUGGCAGUGAGAGCCAUGGCGUCAGUUUUAUCGACUACAGCACUUAAGACCAAAUGUUUAGAUAAACAUCGGAAACACUUCGCUUGCACACCCUCGGGGUUAAAGGCAAUGAAUUGCCUGCGCAAGCGAAUAUCGCUGAUAGACAUGAAACUCAGAGGCGUUUGGCUCCGUCGGAAAAAUAUAAUCUACCUACGUAAGGCCUGCGGCAAUACGAGACUAGCUAGGUUACGCAAACACAGGUCGGUGUUUGUAAGAGAGUUACGUCGUUUAGGUAGAGAAAGAAAGGCAGGUGAGCUUGCCAGCCGGCGGAGAACUGCAGACUCUCGAUUCAAAUACCAGAAGACCUGGUCUGCGAAGAAAGAGAAUGCAAAAUGUGGGUCUGACGAUGGUAUUACCAUCGAGGAACACCGCGCUUUCUGGAGUGAACUCUGGGGAAAUCCGUGGAACGGAGACCUGGAGUGUGAAUUCCUGGGGCGGUUCUUGGCUACCAUCAAAGGGACUGUGAAAGCAGCGACUGAGGUGCACCGAGAAAUCCGGCCAGAGGAAGUAGAUGCUGUACUACGAUCCGUUAGGCCCAACAAAGCUGCUGGACCGGAUGGAAUUCCGCCGUGGAUCUUAAAACUGUCAAGAGUGACAAGGAGAAUAUUGUGCAUAAUCUUCAAUUAUCUUCUCAGCAAAGAGUCGAUGAUCCCGGUUAGGCUCACAACGGGAAGAACAGUGCUCCUCCCGAAGUGUGCCAGGCCUGAGAGUCCGAAAGACUUCAGACCAAUAACCGUGCUCAACACCCAAUACAAGGUACUGACAGCGGUCAUAGAAAGAAGACUACGGGAGUUCCUUAUGGGAAGAUCGUGGUGGCCCAAGGAACAGCGAGCUGUUCUAAAGGGAGUUAGAGGAUGCCACGAAUGCAUCCUCGUGGACCAGGCUGUAGUUGAGCUGUCCAAAGGUAAACACCCGAGGACACUGGCGAUGGGUUGGAUUGACUUUAAGAAGGCUUAUGACUCAGUCGACCUGAGGUGAGUGAGGAAGCUUCUUAAGAAAUACAUUGGGAGCAAACCGCUAUAUACCUGGGUAGUCUCACUUAUACGUAAGUGGAACACCAAGGUCCAAGUAAAAGGCUCGUUCAGCGAACCGAUAUAGUAUAAAAGGGAUUGUUCCAAGGCGACAGCCUUUCUCCACUACUGUUCUGCUUGGCUAUAUGUCCAGUGUUGCAUCUGUUUGCACAAGCGAAAGGAGUUAAAUUCCCUUCCGGCCACGUUGUUACCCAUUUAAUGUUUAUGGAUGACAUCAAGGUCUUUGCCAAGAAUUCGAAAAGGUUAUUGGAUGUCAUGAGAAGAAUGGAACAAGCUCACGACGAAUCGGUCUAGAAUUUGGUCUUUCUAAAUGUGGAAUCACCGCGCUUAACGAAGACCCUGGGCAAAUAUCGGAAGUCCGAGAGAGGUUGUCAAUGAGUGAGAUUCCUUUGUUAAAGAAAGAAGACCAUUAAAAAUAUCUCGGACUAUCCUUGUCUUGUGUGAACAGUAACAAGGCAAGAACCGAUAUCUCAGGGAAAACUCGAGGGUUGAUAACGAACGUGAUGCGCUCGGACAUCACAGACAGAUUCCUACCCGAAAUGAUUAGGGUUUACGCCGUAAGCCCAAUCUACUAUACCUUCGGUCUCCUAAAGUGGAAGAAAGACGAAUUCCGUAAACUGAACGAUCAUAUGAUUAGAUGUAUGCGUAAAAUCAGGAAAAGUUACCCGUGGCGGGGUUUCAGCAGUCGGUUCUUCCUGGACAGAGAGAAAGGAGGCAUGGGCUUCCCUUCCUUCGUCCACGAAGAAAUAAUGGCAGCGGGUAGUCUUUUUCUAUACGCCAGAGAACAAGCCAGAAGUGGAAGUGAAUCCGCAGAGCUUCUAAAGAAACAUUGGUACUAUAAUAAGGUUUGAAAAGGUAAAAAAGUGUUGUCGAAUCGAUUCGGGACAUGGACUACUGAACUAGGCAUCAGAGUAGACGACUGCCAAAGAAAACCGGAAUUGCUUCGGGAGAAGCUACAACAACGAAUGUUCGCCGAAUAGACGGGUGCCAAGGUGAACAAACCAUUCGUUCAGCACUUAGCUGAACCGGAGAUAAUGCCAGGUUAUUAUCUUCGAAACGACUGGUGGCAGAACACCAAAGCGUUGCAAUCUAAAUACAGGCCGCAUGACGUUCAUAAGGAGUAGACUGAAAAACACAUUUAGAUGGAAGAUUCAGCUGAAUGUCAAAUUGCAAAAAGGAGACGGAAAACUUGGAUCACAUUCUAUCUAACUGUGGCAUGCUGCGUGAAGAGUAUUUUCGUAGACACAACAAUGUCGCGAAGAACGUGUACAACAUGUUAGCAAAGACGGCUGGAAUCAAGUACAUGUACAAGAAUUCAACCAAUGGAUGUUCAAAACUAGAAAUAGUACAUGGACGCUAAUUUGGGAGCCGUUGUCUUCGACAGAGACAACGCGAAGCAUGCAAAACGCCCGAACUUGUUCCUAAUGGACAACAAGAAGCGAAAAGCGUGGAUUGUAGAAAUCGCGGUAGCAGCUGAUCAGUUGGUCCAGGAACGUAUUACCGAGAAGAGGGAAAAGUACAACAGAUUACGGAAGAAGGUGAAGAGUGAUCUUCAACUGGAGUCUGUAAAAAUUGUACCGAUUGUCAUAGGCACAUCGGGUAGAAUUACCCGGGACUGCUUGGAUAAUCUUAGAUUCCUUCCUGGGUUCGACAGAAAGCGACGUGGAAGCAAGUUAGUUAAUGAGUAUGAAAAAUACGUAUUAACUAACUUGCAGUCAAGCGCGUUGUUGGAUUCUGUAGCGAUCCUAGGGUUAGUUCUUGGUAGAUAAUGUGACGCUAAGAACCGAGCAACAAACCUACUAAUCGAUUGCUUCGGCUCGAAGAGUAGGGGUUACGACAACAACGGUUUAGUCGGAUUUGGUUUGAAUUGGGCGAAGCCCAACUAGAGUCGAUUUUUUUGCAUUUUAAUUUGAUUCUACACGGGAUAACUUACCAGGGUCUAGUCGCGUGCGAGGCGCGGACGCAAGGCGUAGCAGAGAGUGCAAAUCGGCGCCGAUCGCAACAAGGCUUUUGCAUGGCUACCCUAGGCUGAUGGAGUGAUCUUCAGGUUAAUUCCGACAAUCAACGAGACCCGAACACGCAGUUCCGCGAGGCAGGGUGCACUGACGUUCAAACUAUAGGGAUGAUGGUCAAUGGUAGGUCCGUGAUGCAACCAGAUGUUCUGGCCGACCCGUGAAUUACAAUGGGCUACAAAAGCUGUGUCCUCGCAGGAGGGCGAGGUAGAUCAGCAAUGUAGCACGUAGUGGGGAUUGUCGACUGGAAGGGUGGCAUGAACGAGGAAAUCCUUGUAUGCGCGUCUCAACAGAGCGCGCAGAAUAGGUCUCGAAGACUUGUACACACUGUCCAUCGCUAGGGCCAACGCAUUUUGUGACGAGUAGCCUGGACUUGGCGCAAGCUGUGGAUAGUGGAGCGCAUAAAAGUCGAAGCAAGGUAUUAGUAGGAGAACGUGCUGAUGGAUGAGC
rnacentral:rRNA from 1 species